rnacentral:misc_RNA from 1 species
CCCGAGGCGGUGACCUGAAUCAGGGCUUUGUAGAUGUUGUGUAGUAGUUGUUGUUGUACGACGUCUUAGCCCUUCCGUCCUGGUCGUCUCGGAUAUACUCCAGAUAUACACAAUAUCUACAUACGGGAUUUGCUGCAAAUUUCACGAUUUCUCCCUUCAGUUGGACAAGAAGGAAUCCCUUGCUUCACGUGAUAAAUAUAGUUGGGAGACACCCUUGUGACGUCAUCCACGCCCAUGUUUGGAUCGAUCACCCACCUCAGGCGAAAAGUUGUGAAUUUUUUAUCAGAGGGCGGCGUUAGCUUCUAGCGAAACCGCUAGAGGAAAAAUUAUACGCCCAUUCAUUCGUUAUUGAAUGGAAAACCCGGAACCUAUCGAGGCAAAAUGGCGAGAGCAGUUUGCGGAUGCACCAAUACCAAGCGUGCUCGCCGGCCGUGACGAACACGGUACAUCAACAAGGGACUUGCGUCUCUUUCUACAGGUGACAAGAGACAAAAUAACUCAACUCAGGGUAGAGUUAGAACAGCAGGAAUUUAUUCAGAAGACUUUGGAGGCUGAACUGAAAGACCGAGAAGAGAAAGAAAAAUGUGAAAAGGACGACAAGUUCAUAAAUGAUUAUGUUUACAGUUUUGUCGGCAAAGACAAAAGGUGCGGUUAUCCACCAUUUUCUUACGACCCGGAAUUGGUUGAUGCAAGGCGUGACAGUGAUUGUGUGACGCGAAGCGGGAAGAAUGACCAGUCACCUGAAAGAACAGUGAAUGGGAGUGGCAAGAUAGGGACGAGCGAUUCAUUUCUGCGAAACUAUCAACAGAGAAAGCACAUUUCGUGGUCGCAUUCAAGGGGGGACAACUCUGUCGCGACUCGAGCACCUGUCCCAAUUUACCACUCGAAAAUAACAGUCAUCGAUUCAGACACGGACUCGGACUAUGGCAAAGUAUGGGUGGUCCCGUCACGAUCAAAACAUGAAGUAACCACGAGGUAUUCAACAGGUAUGUUGCCUGCUUCAAAUUUAAGUUGCAGCUUGUCAUCGAAGCAGCCCCCUCCUGUUCCGAGAAAACCUAGCAAACCGCAACCUGCACCGCGUCUCAGUUUACAUAGAAGUAGCUCGUCUGAUUUGUCACUGCUGAGCACCUUUCAGACAGAGGCUGAUCAACAAUUUAGUUCUCUUCCACGUGAUACAGCUUUGAAUGCUAACACAAUGGCUACAUGUAUGACGGACAAUGGUCUACCUGGCCCUACUGAAAACACUGGUCAAAAUGAUGUCAGCGAAAACGCAUCCCAUGCAAACAGCGACGAGGGGUGUGCCAAACGUUUGUCGAGUAAACAUUCUACAGGACUUGAAUACACAAACAGCAAGUCCGUUAUCACAGAGAGACAGUGUGACAGUUUACCAGUACGCCUGAGCACAGGUGAGAGGCCAGGGAUUCAGGACCUUUGUGCAUCGAGUUUAGUCAGUGCCGUUAACAUAAGCAACUCUUUAACUCAUCUGGAUCAGGUCUCAUGCCAGGAAACUGAAACUCCCUGUCGUCAGACAUUAGAUGAUACAGACAUGAAGAAACUGUAUCGUACAAAGAGCGACAGAAAGCACCUUGACACGGGUGAUGGAGCAAAGUUUGAUCAGAUAGAAGGAACAUAUCGGAAACUUAACGAUGAAUGUACUUAUCGGAAGCUUGAGGAUGAAGGUACCUAUCGGAAACUUGAGGAAGAAUAUUCAACAGUGUCGAUCAAAACUGAGGAUUGUGGGGUUGUCGAUGUUCCUAUGCGGAAUAAACCAGAGAAAAUAAAACCUGACAGCAUUUUGUCAGAUUCGGAACAACAUAAAUCUCAUAGUAGUGCUCAGAGUUAUGAGAAUUGGACAAUUGAUCGUUGUCUUACGAGACAAGAUGAUUCGAAUGACAGCGAUGGAAGUGAUCAUCUGUAUGACAAUAUGGUGUUUGGGGAGGUUUCUCCUGCGUCAACGUUACAGAAACAGCCUUACAAAGGUAGUAAAGACUCAGGAUUGUGCGAUGACUUGUCGACCAACGAGUCCUCGCCAUCGGUGUCUGACAGCGUGAGUGUCACGACGGAGGAAAGUGCUGUAGAUGGUGGUGCAGACAGUUCUGCCAAACCUGCAACAUCGGACGAGUCCGACGACGGAGAUAACGGAGAAUGUGUGGAUGUACAAUCAGACUCCAGUGACGAUGACAAGAAUGCUGACAGCAUCUCCCUUGCUUCCGACAUUGUGUUCAUCCCAGCCUCCGAACUGCCAGCAUCGGCCAAUCAUGAAGCAGAAAGCAGGUCACCUGAGCAGUGCCGGGACUCCCACCCUGAUAUCCCUAUGGCGGUGUCCCCCCAGAUCAAGCGAGUCAUCCUCGAGUCCCCUGUGGUCAGCAGUGGCGAGGAGGAGGUGUCAUUUGAUGAGACUGACGGAGUACCGGAGGAGUUGUCUGCCCGUGACAAGCUGCUGCAGAUGCGGCAGUACAUCGUGAAGGGCGUGCUGGAGAGUGAAAAGAGUUACCUCGCCAUCCUCGAACUCCUCAUCCAUUACAAGAGGUCACUGGAGGCGUCGAGUCAGACCUCGAAACCUGUGAUCUCGGAGGAAGAUAACAACGCCAUCUUCUUCAACAUUAAGAAACUGUAUGCAAUCCACCAGGAGUUCGUCAAGGAGCUCGAGCCAAAGGUCAACAACUGGUCACAUGAUCAGAAAAUUGGCGAAAUCUUCAAAAUGAUGGUGUUCCAGUUCCCCGAGUUCGGCAAGUAUAUGAAGAACUACCAGGUGGCUGUGACCACCAUACACAGGUGCUCCCAGGAAAACCCCCAAUUCCAGGAGAUCGCAGGGAAAGUGACAUUCGGUUCUCAUGCCAAAGAAGUAACAAAUCUGGAAGAUGCCCUGUUCAAGCCUGUUCAGAGAGUGCAGAGGAACGCCCUGGUCCUCCAUGACCUGAUCAAGUACACCCCCGAGGACCACGAGGACCACCGGCUGCUGAGGAAGGCCCUCGAUCUGUCCCAGUACAACCUGGAGGAGAUCUCCUCCACCAUACGGGAGAGUGGAGCCCUGCCUCAGGAGAAGCGCCACCUGGUGAAGAGUAGUUUCCUGGUGGAGCUGGUGUCGGGUCAACGCAAGGUGCGCUACAUCUUCCUCUUCAGCGACGUCCUCGUCUGCACCAAGAAGGACAACAACAGGAAAGCCUCGAACUUUGACGUGAAGUGGAUCAUACCUCUGUGUAGACUCACAAUAGACACACACUUUGACUACCAAGAUGAUUUGAAACACAGUCAUAAGGAGAAUAUCGAGGCGAUGAAGAAGAAGAUUGGACAGCUGAAGUCUGAGCUGAGAGAUGAAGUAAAGUACGAGGAGGCAAGAGUGUCGAAGCACUGGUCCAUCAGUGGGCUAGCUGCCGCCCGCAGUGUGGACAAGCUGAAGAGGAAGAUCCAUGAACUGGAGGCCCAGCUGAUCCUGCAACUGCCCAAGUUGGCGGUCAAGUUGACCCACGAGGGGGGGAAGGUCCACACCCUGCUGAUGACCACCGACUACGAGAGGGAAGAAUGGCUGGAGACCUUGACCUCGCUCUGUAGAAAAUGUGGGCACGAUGACCCAAGUCUGAGCACAUAUGAAGUACAGGAACUGGUCAACACCUCAAAAGCCCUACCUCAGGUCAACAAGUUCGGCUCUGUACUUAUGCAGAAAGAUGAGGAGGUGUUGAACGGGACUCUGAACGUCACGGUCCACAAACUGAACGGCCUGGUGACUCCUUGUGACACCUACUGUUGUGUAGAGAUGGACUCGUACGAUCAUUUCUUCAUGAAGGCACGGACCAACAUCUGUCCGACAUCGGCAGACCCGGCGUGGGAUGAGGACUUCGAGCUGGAGCUGGACGGGAGUCAGACACUCCGCGUGCUUGUGUACAAGAAGGUUGACAACAAGUCGGACAGGCUGCUAGGGAGAGGAGCUCUUGAGCUGUGUAAAUCCUGGCUCAAGACAAAUUUUCAAGAGAAGACAAUUUCCAUGAAUGACGUGUCGUUGGUGAUAUCGGUGCGUCACACCCCAGCUAACCGCACGAUGCGUCGGACUCCCUCCCAGCAGAAGACGGGGGUGUUCGGGGUGAAGAUCAGCACGUCGGCUCGCCGCGAGGGGAAGACCGUUCCCUCCAUCGUGACAGCCUGCAUACAGGAAGUGGAGAAACGAGGCCUGGACGAAACAGGCAUUUACCGAGUGUCAGGGGUCACGUCCGAGGUGCAGAGGUUGAAGAAGGCAUUUGAUAAAAAUGUGCGAUUAGGGACCUGUCACGUGACAGACUGCGACAUCCACGCCGUCACAGGCAUGCUAAAGCUGUACUUCCGUGAGCUGCCGGAACCUCUCUUCACAGAGGCCAACUACACAAACUUCGUGGAGUCACUACGGUUAUCGGACAAGGAAGCUAAGGAGAAGUGCAUGCUGGGACUCCUCCACAACCUCCCCGACGCCAACUACUACACCAUCGUCACCCUGCUGGAGCAUCUAGUCAGAGUUGCAAAGAAUGUGAAGGAGAACAAGAUGACCAUACACAACCUGGCAACUGUCCUUGGUCCGACCUUGCUUGCCCCAGCAGUUAAAGACACAACCACCAACCCGCUAGAAAUGAUGUCCAAAACCACAGAACAGGUGAUGCUUCAGUCAGCCAUUGUCAACUACUUCCUGUCCCUUGCUGCUCAAGGUCGUAGUCUCAGAAGGUCAGCUCAGGUCUAGGUCAAGGUCAACAAAAUGUCACAGGUCAAGGACAUGACCUUUGGAACAAGAUUUCUUUUUGUGAAAUACAUUUCUCAACAAGAUAGAAUUUUGUUCAUUAAAACCUUUUUUGUGUUGUUUGUAUUGAAAGGGUGUAGUGACAUUCAAACAAAAGGUUUGACUCAGUGUACUCUGUAAUAUAUCCGAACUUUCCUUCCAUGUUGAGACCAAAGAUCCAUGAAACAUUCCAUCAUUAACUUCCAACAUUGCAACACAGUAGUGACCUUGUCAGAGAUGUCGGGAACAAUAGUGUCCACAAUGACGCAAGCAACGAGAUGUGGAAGUCGGUUACAGAGAGAAAUCACAGAUGUGAAGUGUCAGGACCUCAGCCUUGUGAACUACUGUUGGCCAUGGUUCUGGGCAGAUGUAACAAGAGAUUUUAGUGUGUGGCACUUUCUUUAUUUAUCACUGAAGAUGACACCAUGAAGCUGAUCUGGGGAUCAGUCAUGACCUCAUGGGAGGUGUAGGAUGUUGGAGUAGAGAAGUGUCAUGAUGUCAUGAAGUGUUGGCUGUUGGAGAAGAGAAGUGUCAUGACGUUGUGAGGUGUAGGAUGUUGGAGAAGAGAACUGUCAUGAUGUCAUGAGGUGUUGGCUGUCAGACAACAGAUUGUCAUGACGUGAGGUGUUGGAUGUUUAAAAACAGAUGUCGUGAGGUGUUGGAUAUCUGAAAAGAGAACUGUCAUGAUGUCAUGAGGUGUUGGCUGUCAGACAACAGAUUGUCAUCACGUGAUAUGUUGGAUGUUUAAAAACAGAUGUCGUGAGGUGUUGGAGAAGAGAAGUGUCAUGUCAUUUCUGAGAAUUUAAGUUCCAUGACGACAUGUGACAUGCAAGAUGACAGAGAACUGAAGUGCCAUGACGUGUGACAUGCAAGGUGACAGUACUGAAGUGCCAUGACGUGUGACAUGCAAGGUGACAGUACUGAAGUGUUAAAAGGAGACUGCAGAAGGUGGAUGGAAGAUGAGGAGGAGCUGGGAACAUGGUCAGACGUCGCUUGCCUUUGCCUUGCUAAUGAAUGUCUACCUACCCACUAUGAGUGAACAUGGCAUGCUUUUCAUAAGCAUGUCUUGCCUGGUCUGGAUCUGGACAAGUUUUAUAAGUGAUGAAGUGCUUUCCUUAGUAGGGGUUAGACAAUGUUCGAGGAGCGACGUACCAUGUUUGUAAUCACAAGUGCUUCAACGUGCUGACUGCAAGGAUUUUAGACAUUGAAGACCAAGACUUGUUUCGUGUGUAUUCCACCAAUAGGCUGUUUUGGUCUGAUUGUGCAACAAGAUUUAAAACGUUUUAUGAUGUAUCUGUCCAGGAGUACGGAAAUCGAAGCCUUUCGAUAUUGCUACAGAGGAAACAACGCUAUGCCUUUCCGGACGUUGUUUAAGACUCCUGUAUUUUCCAGAUUGUUUUAAUUUGCAAAUGAGCUUGCUAUUUAUUUGCCUUGCAUGCAUUGAAGCUAUUUCUAUGACAUUUGAUUGUUACAGUGUUGAUGUGGCGUGUUUGAUUGGAAAAACUGCCAUAGGGCAGAUAUGCUUGAUCUGCCUCUAGUCUUGGACUGCUAGCCAAGUGGCUGUGUGUUGUUACCAGUGUGUCUUUAACAGGUUGCUAUGGAGACAGUUAUGUCUGGAACGUGUUACCAUGGUUUCGUGUGCUGUCAUGUCUGACAUGUUACCAUGGUUACAUGUAGGAGUUAUGCAACAGGUAACAAUGUUUUUUUGUGUUGUUUUGUCAUUGACAUGUUACCAUGGUAACAGAUGUAUGUAUCAGGAUACCAAUUUUAGUCAUUUCACCAUAGUUUCUUGGUUUGGAUGAAACAGACGGAUUACUGUAUUUUAAGAGGAAAAGAUGAUAAUUUUAUUUAACUGUCCUUUAUUUAAAUCUAGUUGCCGUGUACUUUUGUUGUAGUAUUUUAAGAUUAUUUUGAAGUCGAUCUUUUGAUCAUUCCACGAAGCUUGUACAAAAUAAAACCUUCAGAAGAUUAUGUAGAAUGAAAUUCUAGUAGAUUGUAAAAAGUUGUAUAUUCUUGCCCAGUUGUAAAUACAGGAGAAAAUAGUCCACCAGAGGGGUAAUAACAGAUUUUCUUGAAUUUUGCAAACCUGAAAUCCAAUAUGAAAGCUAGCAAGUGUUCCCAACACCCUACAGUUGUAAGCUUAGUUAGACUGUGUACAUAUUUACUCCAAGCCCCGAGUUCUCGAAACAAACUAAGUUCAAAAACUGACUUAAGUCUGAACUUCUAAAACAAAACUGAGUCAAUUUUUUGCUCACACUGAGUUAGAAACCAGGCAAAACUUUGGUUAAAAAGUUAGCCUACAUGGCAACUUAAGUUUUAAUUCAGACAAAAAUGGCAUUUGCUAAUAGACAUAAGCAGAGAUCGAAGAGACAGGUUAUUUCUAGGGGCUUACCGAUCGUGACAACCCACUGCAAUACGUAUUGGAUGAAGAUUUAUUCCUUAGAUUUAGGUUUGGGGUGAAAACAAUUCUAUACAUCAUGUCACUCGUCCAACAGCUGAGUUUUUGCUGAUAUUGAUUUGAGAAAUGCUUUUGAGUUAAAAACUCAGCUGAUAUUUUUUGCACUCUCAGUUUGAGAUUUAAGUAAAAUUUUAUUUUUGUUUCGAAAAAUCGGGGCCAGAACGACUAUGUUAGUGGGUAGACAUGCUAAUUAUGAUGUCCACACUCGUGACAAUUCUAGUUCUUGAUCAAGAUAUUCAAGUGCCAAUGUGUUUGUGAGAAUGUUUUCUGUCACAAAGUGUUGUUUAAUUAUGAAACCAAUGUGUCCUCUGGUUAUGCUUCAUGUGUGUUUAGUCAGCAGAAUAUUGAUGUGAGUAUUUAAUGUACAGUGAAACAGGUGCCCUGCCUAUCCCAGCAUGACUUGCUGUGUGGACACUGUUGUACAGAGGGGUGUACAUAGGUCCUUGUGUCUACAUCGUUGCUGCUGUAACAAUACAGGUUACUGUAACAAUACAGGUUACUGUAGUUGUGUUGUUUUUUCCUGGCUGUAGAUAGUCCUGAGAUAGGUUCACUGAAGCCCUGAUAAUGUUCUGAUAAUGGAUAGACUUACAAAAGCCCUGGUAAUGGAUAGAUUUACUGAAGCCCUGAUAAUGGAUAGAUUUACGAAAGCCCUGAUAAUGGAUAGAUUUACGAAAGCCCUGAUAAUGGAUAGAUUUACGAAAGCCCUGAUAAUGGAUACUUUUAAAAAAGCUCUGACAAUGCAAGAUUUACGAAAGCCCUGAUAAUGGAUAGACUUACUAAAGCCCUGAUAAUGGAUAGAUUUACGAAAGCCCUGAUAAUGGAUAGAUUUACUAAAGCCCUGAUAAUGGAUAGAUUUACAAAAGUUCUGAUAAUGGAUAGAUUUACUAAAGCCCUGAUAAUGGAUAGAUUUACGAAAGCCCUGAUAAUGGAUACUUUUAAAAAAGCUCUGACAAUGCAAGAUUUACGAAAGCCCUGAUAAUGGAUAGACUUACUAAAGCCCUGAUAAUGGAUAGAUUUACGAAAGCCCUGAUAAUGGAUAGAUUUACUAAAGCCCUGAUAAUGGAUAGAUUUACAAAAGUUCUGAUAAUGGAUAGAUUUACUAAAGCCCUGAUAAUGGAUAGAUUCACUAAAGCCCAGAUAAUGGAUGUUUCACUAAAGCCAUGAUAAUGGAUGUUUCUCUAAAGCCCUGAUAAUUGAUAGAUUUACAAAAGCCCUGACAAAAGAUAGAUUUACUGGGACCAAAGUCUUUACCAGGUAACACAAACUCAGGUAUGGAAACAUUGUUGAUGUGUUACAUGGGCAAAUCGACCGUCGGAAUCUACUUUCAAAUUAUCAAAACAGGUAUACCGGAUGAAGUUUAUCAGAAGUGUUAAGAAGAGAAAAUAGUUACUAAAUUGCAAGUAUACAUCCAAAGACCGUUGGCCUGUCCCACACAGUGAAUACCCUGAAAGUAUGUUUUAGUUAAAAGUAUUGCAGUUACCAUUGUAAGUAUGUUUAUAGGUGUGUUUUUAUGUCAUGUAUGGCGGCAGUUACAACAUGGGUGAUUUAUAUAUCUCUUUCUGAGAGUCACGUUGAUGUUGCUGUUGCUGUUGCUGUUGCUGUCCCCCAUGUGUACACGACCAGGGGUGUAGAGAUACACGGUCUGUGAUCCUGUUGUUUUCUUGUUAUUGUCAAGAUAUACCGAACAAAAAUAUUUAGGGAUCAUAAAUAUUUUUUGGGAUAUUUUUUAUGAAAUUGUCAUCACUAAUAAAGAAUAUGCCCCAAAAUAUUCAUGAUCCCUAACUGUUUUGUUUUGUAUAAGAUCAUUUUUUAACUGAUUAACUUGCACACUACGAGGGAAUGAAUUAUGUUUAUUUGAGAAACCACCUGAGCCAUUCCAAAAGAGAAAGAAUUAUUUAGAUUUUGUUUGAAACUCUAUGUUCUGCCAUGUUCAUCAGUGUUUCAUGUUUUAAGAAUUUAGUCCAAGAAUCUCAAAUUGGUGCUUUCAUAACCACAAAGUAAGAAACUGUACCAGUUCGUGAAUUCUGUUCUUAACAUCUUCACGCCAUUUGAAAUUGAUGGAAUUUACAGAACCAAACUAUUCAUGCAAAUUUCCAUCAUAAUUCCAACUUAACAUCAUGCUGUGAUUCUGUCCAGUUUCCCCAACAUUAUUCACAUCCUUCAUCACACAAUCAUCUCCAUGUCUGUAGCAAUGUUGGGAGGAAGACUUGAAGUUACUUUAACCUUUUUCUUUAAAUUUUUCGUUUCUUUUGGGCAAUUCAGAAAGUGAUUUUAGCCCUGUGAACAUCACUUGUUUGAACACAGGGAGCGAGGUAGUACACUGGAUUGUGUGUUCCCUGUUCCUGACUAUGACCUGGGUUUGAUUCUUAAGAUGAGCAGUGAUGCAGCUACAAUAGGGUCACAAAUUACAGCCCUAUUCACUUGGAUCAUGGGGAUGUUGGAGAUUUUAUAAGCGCUUCGGGUAGAGAUGAUUUCACACUGUUUCCAUUCACACGCUUCAUCAGUGGACGGAGGUGGCCGAGUAGUUAAGGUCCUCUCUCUUCACAAUGACCUGGGUUUGAAUCCCUACAUAUGAAGCCUGAAUCCACUGCUUAAUGUGGCCUGACUAUUGAUAAGGUGGUGUAAAAACAAACCUCACAUUCUUCUGAUUGUAAACACCUUCAACUUACCCUCAGAUCAGUCUUGUUAUUAGGGCAGGGACGAUACACCAACUGUGCGAUCCGAUACGUAUCACGAUACCUUGUACACGAUCCGAUACGUAUCACAAUACCUUGUACACGAUCCGAUACGUAUCACAAUACCUUGUACACGAUCCGAUACGUAUCACAAUACCUUGUACACCAUCCGAUACGUAUCACAAUACCUUGUACACGAUCCGAUACGUAUCACGAUACCUUGGAUACGAUUCGAUAUGUAUCACGAUACCUUGUACACAAUCCCAUAUGUAACUUGAUACCUUGUACACGAUCUGAUACGUAUCACGAUCCAAUAUGUAUCACGAUACCUUGUACACGAUCCGAUACGUAUCACGACACCUUGUACACGAUCCGAUACGUAUCACGACACCUUGUACA